rnacentral:rRNA from 1 species
AACGAACGCGGGCGGCAUGCCUAACACAUGCAAGUCGAACGAACCCUUCGGGGUGAGUGGCGCACGGGUGCGUAACGCGUGGGAACCUGCCCUUAGGUUCGGAAUAACAGUGAGAAAUCGCUGCUAAUACCGGAUAAUGUCUUCGGACCAAAGAUUUAUCGCCUUUGGAUGGGCCCGCGUUGGAUUAGCUAGUUGGUGGGGUAAAGGCUCACCAAGGCGACGAUCCAUAGCUGGUCUUAGAGGAUGAUCAGCCACACUGGGACUGAGACACGGCCCAGACUCCUACGGGAGGCAGCAGUGGGGAAUAUUGGACAAUGGGCGAAAGCCUGAUCCAGCAAUGCCGCGUGAGUGAUGAAGGCCUUAGGGUUGUAAAGCUCUUUUACCAGGGAUGAUAAUGACAGUACCUGGAGAAUAAGCUCCGGCUAACUCCGUG